CUGUAUGUACCAUUUUUCCUUUUUAUCAUUAUGAAUCCCCCAAAUAAGUUUCUAAUCAUAACAUCAAUGUGUGGUUUUAUAAAGUCCCGCUUCAAACCAUGAGAUUUUCAUCGGAGUUGUCUUGUUUUAUGGUGAAGCCAGUUUUUUUUUCUUUUCUUUUUUUUGGGGGGGAUCUUCAGAUGUGUAAAUGUCAGUUAAAGCAGUUAAACAACAAACACACAUACUAUGUGAGCCAAACAAAACACAUCUGGCGUGCUGGCUAACAGUAUGUACCCUUUGAAAUAGCUCAACAAUUACAACCACAAGCCUGAUCCAGGAUUGAGGGUCUUCUCUCUGUUUCAUCCCCAGCUCUUGCGUAAUGUGGACUCUCUAUCCUAAGGUACAGUGGUCACUCAUCAGCAACUUCAGCCCACCUUCCUGCCUCCUUGUUUGCUGGGAAUUACCAGCUACUCCAGCAUUCUGGUGGGCCUCUUUUCCUGGUGGAGAUGUCUAAGAGAGAGGUCAGUGGUACAAACUAUAAUCCUCACAACUGAAGACUCAGGCCUGCGAGUGGAGGAAGAUCUAAGAAGAACUUACCUUUGGAUGAACUAUUUUCAACUAUGGCCUCUUAGGAGACUGUGGUCUCCGCCUGCUCUAAUCCCAGUAAGGGGAACACCUGUCCCCCAGGUGUUGCUAACUGCUCAUUGUCUUUUCCACAGGACCAGGCUGCAGCCAGGGCCCAGGCCACAGAAACCAACUCUGGACAAGUAGCUGAGGCAGAGAAUAGGAAUCAAAGGAAUAACUGAGGAGACGAGGCCAACAGAAAGAUUGAAUGAGGAAAUCUGGGAGGAGCCUAACAAGAAGAACACGUGGAUUUUCUUUUCAGGUAUGCCUAUCAAAGUAAUUCUAUUCCAACAGACGUUUUUCUGCUACUUUGCCAAUUUUCAAAUUCUUUGGGUAAUAUGUCUGAUUGGCUCCGUUUAGAACAGUUUUUAAGGGAGGAGCGUUGAAGGAUGGAAAGGAUGGAAACUGGGUCUUAUGACAGUUAAGAGUCAGCAGGUCUCCUGUGUUGGGGGUCCUUCACAGAGAAUAAGGAAUCAGAGAAGUGAGGACCCUGUCAGAGUGUAGUACCCUCUUUUCUUAGGCCAUCAUGGUAGGAUAGAAAGGCACUAAUGGGCACAAGUCAUCUUCAACAAUUAAAAAACUAUUAAUUUAUUUUGAGAGAGAUAGAGGGAGAUUAAAGGAGGGACAGAAAGAAGGAGACAGAAUCCCAAGCAGGCUCCAUGAUGUCAGGGCAGAGCCUGAUGCGGGGCUCAAACUCACAAACCAUGAGUUCAUGACCUGAGCUAAAAUCAAGAGUCAGAUGCUCAACCCACUGAGCCACCCAGGCGCCCCCAUCUUCAACAUUUUUAAGACUCAGUCUUGACUAAAUAUUAUGCAUUUCCUCUCUACUUAUUCUUAAAAUUAAUGAUUAUAUAAAAUUGUCAUUUUUGCCUAGUAAAUUCACUGACACACUAGUCUCUCCUAAAGAGUUUACCUGUGGUGUUCUGUAUGAGCAUGUUUGUUCAAUAAGUCAUUAUCAAAACUUUUUCCUUUGAAAGGUUAGACUACUUAUUUCAGCUAAUUUAGAAGCUGUAAAAUGUUUCAACACAUGUAAAAUCGGUGAGGUGUAUAUUUUUAUAGAUGAGAAUUCUUUUUCACUUGCCUACAGCUUUUAUUUGCAUUUUGCAAAUUUAUCAUAAAUGUGCUGACAACAGAAAAUAGCACUCAAGGUUCUGAGAUAACUAGUUAAGUCAUGUGGUUAUCAGCUAUAUUUUGGAGACAGUUCCACUAAAGUAAAUAAAAAGGAAAUUACUAGGCA
ensembl:lncRNA